rnacentral:rRNA from 1 species
AUACGUAGGUGACAAGCGUUAUCCGGAUUUACUGGGCGUAAAGGGCGUGUAGGCGGUCUUGCAAGUCAGAAGUGAAAUUCCUGAGCUCAACUCGGGCGCUGCUUCUGAAACUGCAGGACUUGAGUGCUGGAGGGGAUAGCGGAAUUCCUAGUGGAGCGGUAAAAUGCGCAGAUAUUAGGAAGAACACCGGUGGCGAAGGCGGCUAUCUGGACUGCAACUGACGCUGAGGCGCGAAAGUGUGGGGAGCAAACAGGAUUAGAUACCCUGGUAGUCCACACUGUAAACGAUGAAUGCUAGGUGUAAGAGGUAUCGACCCCUUUUGUGCCGGAGUUAACACAAUAAGCAUUCCGCCUGGGGAGUACGGCCGCAAGGUUGAAACUCAAAUGAAUUGGCGGGG